GAGUGGAUGUAGGUGCAAGGUUAGCACCGAACCACUAUAAAUCCUUGUGUUUGUGGUGUGCUUUAUCGCUUCACUUUAUUUCUUUAUUAUAUUCUUGCAUUCCUAUUUUAGGUAAUUAAUAUUGAAUUAAAGUCUUUGUUUUGUUCUUCAUAAGUAAUCAGUUGGGGCUUAAAAUUUUUAGAAACCCAAUUCACCCCCCCUCUUGGGUUGCAUAGCUGGGC
rnacentral:lncRNA from 1 species